GUGUUCAGCUCUUUCUGUCUUCUUUGGUUGAUUGCUGGGCUUCUUAUUGGGAUUUCAUCGACUGUUCUCCUGAUGUUCUUGCUGCGUUGCUACACAAAGUCAAAGGAUCUUUGUGGUCACAGGCACACUGAGUCUCCACCAGCCAACCAGGAUGAAACCCAACAGCAAGUAUAUUCCUCUCUUCUCCAUGAUGAUGGUUCUAUCUAUGAAUCAGUCGGAGGCUCUGAAGACGCUGGAAAAAGUACAGUAUGAAUUUUGAUCAACGCAGAUUAACGUCCAUAAAGAAAAGUCUAUCAACAAAAGAAGAGAAGC